rnacentral:rRNA from 1 species
GCCCUACGGGGGAAAGCAGGGGAUCUUCGGACCUUGCACUAUUGGAGCGGCCGAUAUCGGAUUANNUAGUUGGUGGGGUAACGGCCUACCAAGGCGACGAUCCGUAGCUGGUUUGAGAGGACGACCAGCCACACUGGGACUGAGNNACGGCCCAGNCUCCUACGGGAGGCAGCAGUGGGGAAUUUUGGACAAUGGGGGAAACCCUGAUCCAGCCAUCCCGCGUGUGCGAUGANNNCCUUCGGGUUGUAAAGCACUUUUGGCAGGAAAGAAACGUCGCGGGCUAAUACCCCNNNAAACUGACGGUACCUGCAGAAUAAGCACCGGCUAACUACGUGCCAGCAGCCGCGGUAAUACGUAGGGUGCAAGCGUUAAUCGGAAUUACUGGGCGUAAAGCGUGCGCAGGCGGUUCGGAAAGAAAGAUGUGAAAUCCNNNNNCUUAACUUUGGAACUGCAUUUUUAACUACCGGGCUAGAGUGUGUC